UGCCAGCCGCCGCGGUAAUACGGAGGGGGCAAGCGUUGUCCGGAUUUACUGGGUGUAAAGGGCGCGCAGGCGGAUUUGUCAGUCAGGGGUGAAAGCCCCGAGCUCAACUUGGGAUGGUCAUUUAGAACUGGCAGACUAGAGUCUUGGAGAGGGGAGUGGAAUUCCAGGUGUAGAGGUGAAAUUCGUAGAUAUUGGGAAGAACACCAGUGGCGAAGGCGGCUAACUGGCUCGGUACUGACGCUGAGAUGCGAAAGCGUGGGGAGCAAACAGGAUUAGAUA
rnacentral:rRNA from 1 species